rnacentral:lncRNA from 1 species
AUGUUAGCAACUUCUGUCAAGAAAAGUUUGUGCUUUACAGGACAAAUCAACAACAGCAGAAAGUGCUACUCAGGGGGAAGGUGGCCUCAAGAAUCAGAGGUGAAAAGGAAUGUAAAGCUGUACUUCUCAAAGUGGUCUGAGAGUGGCCUCCAUUGCACACACCGUUGCUUCAUCGCAUGCCUCCAGCUGAACGAUCUGAAGUGCGAGGAGGUCAAGCGACCCCUCCAGGUAACACACAGUAAGUCAGAGAUUCAGGCCAAAUUCAGUUUUUGUGCCAGGGCUUUUGACAAGUUUCUAGGAGUGUCUGAGAAUAAAUGGUUAGCUAAAACUGAGUCUUUACACCUUUGUUUUAGAGCAAAGACAAAGGAUACCUUUUUUCUUAUUGAUGUUUUCAUUCAAUUCCAAUUUCUAAAUAAAAUAAUAAAAUUUCUAAAUAUAGUAAUUCAGACAUGACUUAUUAACUCUCCUCCAAAUAACUGAAUUUAUACUGCUAUCACAUUAGAACCCUAGCAGAAGACUUUACCUCUUGGAAUUUCUGGCCAAUUUGAUCUACUUUCGGCUGUCUCUCCUUAUUUUGAGCCAUCAUGUUCACUGUUGCUGCAUAUUCAUUCACCAAAAGUUUAUUAAGCAUCUAUUAUAGUCCAGGCACAAGUCUUGUCAUUAGCAUUUGCAGGACUCUGCACAAGGAUACUUAUAGUGGCUCAUAUGCCGUAUGUCUACAUGCCUAAUAGUUAUAAAACAAGUUGGCGAAAUAUUUGCUAAAAUUAGUUCUUUCUACCUUGACAAAAUACUUUGCAAGGCCAAUUUGAAAUUUAGAAUUCUCAAAUGCUUCAGCAUACUAUGCCAGAACCACAGUGCAAGGAGAACAUACUAGCAGCCACCAGCACCUAGGUACCAGUCUCCUGCAUCUGGCCCUCAGCCCAUCCGUCUUUUUUCUCCACUUAUGGCCACAUCCCAUAACAUGAUGGGCUUUGCACACAUGCCUUGAAUAUCCUGCCUUGCACAUUGAAGCUCAGCCACAGCUCCAUCUAUCAGGCCCCCUUGCACCAUUCUUUGUGGACCCCUGUCCUCCAAACUCUUUAGUCUGAUCUGACCUUAAACUUUCCAACCUAAUUGCAAACUUUUUUGUUUACAGUACGUUAUAUUAAACAAGUUAGUGCACAUUUUCAUUACAAUACCUCUCAGUCCCAAACUACUCUUUCUGUCUAAACUACUUUUUUCCAUCUCUGUCCACUUCAGUAUUCUAACUCAUCUCUCCGUCUCUUAGCUGUGACAGUACUCCAUGACUUUCACAUCAUAG